rnacentral:piRNA from 1 species
GGGAUUAACUUCACCUAUCGGGGGCAG